CUACGUGCCAGCAGCCGCGGUAAUACGUAGGGUGCGAGCGUUGUCCGGAAUUAUUGGGCGUAAAGGGCUUGUAGGCGGUUUGUCGCGUCUGCCGUGAAAUCCUCUGGCUUAACUGGGGGCGUGCGGUGGGUACGGGCAGGCUUGAGUGCGGUAGGGGAGACUGGAACUCCUGGUGUAGCGGUGGAAUGCGCAGAUAUCAGGAAGAACACCGGUGGCGAAGGCGGGUCUCUGGGCCGUUACUGACGCUGAGGAGCGAAAGCGUGGGGAGCGAACAGGAUUAGAUACCCUGGUAGUCCACGCUGUAAACGUUGGGCACUAGGUGUGGGGGCCACCCGUGGUUUCUGCGCCGUAGCUAACGCUUUAAGUGCCCCGCCUGGGGAGUACGGCCGCAAGGCUAAAACUCAAAGGAAUUGACGGGGGCCCGCACAAGCGGCGGAGCAUGCGGAUUAAUUCGAUGCAACGCGAGGAACCUUACCCGGGCUUGAAC
rnacentral:rRNA from 1 species